rnacentral:misc_RNA from 1 species
UUCAAAUAACGAAAUAAGAGCACAGAAAAGAUAAUUCUCUUACGAAAUUUCUGGACUUACCUGUAGCCUAUGCAUAACAUAAAUUUCCAUCCAAAAUACAUAAAUUUUAUUGUAUUGCGUAGUAAACACUGUAAAAGUUCAUGCAAGGAUACCAUACCCACCAAAGGCAUGGAUAAAAAUAAGUAGCAAUUUAAAGUAUAAAAUCACUGAAUCACUAAAUAAGUAGGUUUGCUAUGUACAACAUCACAACACGAUUAACUGUAUUUAGCUAGUUUGCUUGAUAAACAAUCCAACAAAGAAAAUGGUAUCAUAUGGAGCGUUCAGCUGGAGACAACUGGUAUGUGCGCCUCCUUAACUCGGACUCUGGAGUGGGCUGCUGCAAAAAAAUUCUUGUUGGAUCAUUAGGAUCAACAUAUGCAUGUCUCAUCAUUUCAUCAACUGGAGUCUGUGCUGCUACUAAAGGAUUCAUCUGAGGGCCCGUUCUGGGGAUUGAUUGUUGAUUGUGUUGCCUUACAGAAGAGAUCAAGUUAAAAAAAAGUGGAAUGAAGGUUCCACAGCCCCCUUCCUUGAACAAAAUCUUGAAUGAGUGAGUGGAGUAGAGAGCUGCAUUCUCAUUUUCUGGAACUACUGGUUCCACAAGACCUGAAACAUUGUUGCAAAAGAAUAUUGGUUGAUUGAAUUUUUCUCCAUGAACAUAAAGCUGCAAAACAAAGAAAUUGAACCAUUGGAAAACAUUACAAAGCUGACAUAAUAGCAUCGAAGUAGAAUAUGAAUAUUCCAGAACCAAUUUAACCGUAACAUUGCCAUGGAUUCUUUAAGUUUCCAAUUUUACUAGUUGUGAGCCUAUGAUUGACUGAGACCUAGGAAUAUAGCAAAUGCAACCAUUCAGGCAACCAAACAUGUAACUUGGUCUCUGCCUAAAGCAUAUCUCAUAAGAAGGGCUCCCAUUACCUGGUAAUUUUUAGUAUGUAAAAGAAGACGCAUGAAAACAUUUAUAUGCAAAACUCAAUUUGUGAUGAGUCUUUGAAAUCACUGAUGCGUUACCGUUACAAGUUGCAUGAUAGUGCAAACACUUCAGAUUCACUUCAAUGCAAAGGAUAGAUUCCAGCUAUCCUCUUCAAUUUUCAUCACUGUUCUUACUAAUAUUUCCAUGAAAAAUGCUAAAAAUUACGUACCAAAAAUAGAACUUCGCAAGAGGUGAAAGAAAGGGAAGAAGGAAUUAGUACUUGCAACAACCAUUCAAUAAAGGUUGGAAAACAAGGUUUAUGCUAUUUUCAUAAUAAUUAAAAGAACAAUAAAGUCAAACUUAGAUGAGGUAGCAUACACAGGUAGGCAAGGCAGAAAUAAGUUGUCACUUACCAGGGGCAUAUCAAAAGCAGUGAAGUUUCCAACAGGUUUAUUUGCAACAAAAACCAUACGUACAUUUGACAAGUAGAUUAUUCCCUUAGCUUUAACAUGACCUCCCUGACUUCCAGGGAUCUUGUCAAUCUCGAACUCGACGCCAUCUCUAGUCAAAACAAAGAUCUCGUUGACGAAUGGUACCGGCAUCCCAUUUUGGAACAGUUGAGGGUUCAAAGCCAUCUCUUUUCUUGCUCUUGGUGCGAUUUAUUUUCUCCUGUGCGUUGGCGAAUAUUAAUUUAAUUCCUGAAUUUAUAGUUGGCAUCGCA